rnacentral:rRNA from 1 species
UGAGGAAUAUUGGGCAAUGCCCGAAAGGGUGACCCAGCAACGCCGCGUGGAGGAUGAAGGUCGUAAGAUUGUAAACUCCUGUUAGAGGGGAAGAAUAACUAAGUUUGGAGCUUAGUAUGACUGUACCCUCAGAGAAAGCCCCGGCUAACUACGUGCCAGCAGCCGCGGUAAUACGUAGGGGGCAAGCGUUGUCCGGAUUUACUGGGUGUAAAGGGCGCGCAGGCGGGAUAAAAAGUCAGUGGUGAAAUCCUACAGCUUAACUGUAGAACUGCCUUUGAUACUUUUAUUCCUGAGUUCGGGAGAGAGAGACGGAAUUCCAGGUGUAGUGGUGAAAUACGUAGAUAUCUGGAAGAACACCAGUUGCGAAGGCGGUCUCUUGAUCCGACACUGACGCUGAGGCGCGAAAGCGUGGGGAGCAAACA